UGACCGCCAGGGGGCGUGCCCGCUGGCGCAAGGCAGAGCCUUGGACACGUGACCACCGGCUGGCCCUCCAGCUGUACUGCCCCGGGCCCUGGCGGCGGUUACAAUGGGGCGGGGCUUGGGUAACAACCAUAGGUAGGGAGCACGUGGAGGAGAAAGCAGUGGCCACUGGAGGCUGGGGAGGUGACCUAGGGGCCCAGGUGGCAGGAGGGCCAGGCCUUUGAGGCCCUUGGAGGGCGCACUCUAGAAUUCUUGGUGAGUCAAAGGAUGCAUUAGAAUCAGAGCAUUUGGAAACAAAUGAGCCUUUAAGAGACUUGAGCUCAAAAGGAAAAUUUCUUGAUUUGGAUCAAAGCGGUUCCGAGGAACCAGAGAUUAGUUUCCCUGAAACACAGCCCUCAAGUGAGCUUGGGGACAAAAUCGACCAGAUGCCUCAGGAUGAACUGGGACGGGAAAGGAGAGAGGAAAAAAGAUGAUCAGACUUAAGUGAGCGAGGAGAGGAAGAAUUCCAGUCCAAAGCAGAGAUCCCGGAGAAAUCACUGGUGUCUACCAGCGAGGACAUACUGUUUCGAAAGGAUGACCGCGCCAACAUGUAUCCUUCGUUCAGUUCAGUGCUCUGGAGGGACAUGUGUGACAGGAGUGCUGCCUCUGGGCCUGACAUCUGGGUCAGACAGUGUUGCUCCCCAGGCAGGAAAUUCCAGACGUGGUUUGUCUGUUACAUAGGGUGCCCUUUCUUGUGGGAGACUCAAGGACAAUCUCUCCCUCUCCUCCCCAUUCCCCUUCUUUCUCACUUCGUCCUCCUGCUCCUCCAUUCCUUUCCCCUUUCCCUCCUCUCCUCACCUCUUCUGCCUUAGAUGGCUUGAUACCUCUUCACAAGCUCCUAAAACCAUUACGGGCUCCUAAAACUGCACAUUCAGAGACGGACCAGAAAGCAAAAG